UCGGGAAUAUUGCGCAAUGGAGGAAACUCUGACGCAGUGACGCCGCGUGCAGGAAGAAGGUUUUCGGAUUGUAAACUGCUUUAGACAGGGAAGAAAAAAAUGACAGUACCUGUAGAAUAAGCUCCGGCUAACUACGUGCC
rnacentral:rRNA from 1 species